rnacentral:rRNA from 1 species
UACGUAGGGUGCGAGCGUUGUCCGGAAUUAUUGGGCGUAAAGAGCUCGUAGGCGGUUUGUUGCGUCGGCCGUGAAAACUUCACGCUUAACGUGGAGCUUGCGGUCGAUACGGGCAGACUUGAGUUCGGUAGGGGAGACUGGAAUUUACGGUGUAGCAGUGAAAUGCGUAGAGAUCGUAAGGAAGACCAGUGGCGAAGGCGGGUCUCUGGGCCGAUACUGACGCUGAGGAGCGAAAGCGUGGGGAGCGAACAGG